AAGUCGUAACAAGGUUUCCGUAGGUGAACCUGCGGAAGGAUCAUUAUAGAUUUGAUAUACACUAUCAUAACACGUAUAGACCGAAAGCUUUGGCGGCUUGCCGUCAAAGACCUAACAAACAAAUAUAACUUGUCAAAAUACCAAAAUAUUAAAACUUUCAACAACGGAUCUCUUGGUUCUC
rnacentral:misc_RNA from 1 species